GUGCUCGCUUCUGCAGCACAUAUACUAAAAUUGGAAUGAUACCGAGAAGAUUAGCAUGGCCCCUUGCGCAAGGAUGACACGCAAAUUCGUGAAGUAUUCUAUAUUUUU